UACAGAGGGUGCGAGCGUUAAUCGGAAUUACUGGGCGUAAAGCGCGCGUAGGGCGGCUUUGCAAGUCGGGGUGUGAAAUCCCCAGGCUUCGAACCUGGGAACUGGCAUUCGAGACUGCAUUGCUAGAGUAGUGGGAGAGGGAAGUGGAAUUCCGGUGUAGCGGAUGAAAUGCGUAGAUAUCGGAGGAAGCAUCAGUGGCGAAAGGCGACU
rnacentral:rRNA from 1 species